rnacentral:misc_RNA from 1 species
AAAAAAAAAGAGUGAGAGAGAGAGAGAUGACAAUCAUGUUCAAUUAUAAAGACCAAUCUGGAAAGGAAACCCUAUAUAAAAACAGAGAUAAGCACAAAAAAAUAGUUUUGGGUAAUUAGCAUAUCCCCUUUUAGUUUAUUUUUGAUAACAAGAAUGGACAUUACGAUACUAAAACUUUUUUAAAAAAUAAUGUGAAAGAUAAAAUAGAGUGCAAAGCAACCAACCUUUCAGUUUUCCUUUGCUCCCCA